rnacentral:rRNA from 1 species
CUCGUAGGCGGUUCGUCGCGUCCGGUGUGAAAGUCCAUCGCUUAACGGUGGAUCCGCGCCGGGUACGGGCGGGCUUGAGUGCGGUAGGGGAGACUGGAAUUCCCGGUGUAACGGUGGAAUGUGUAGAUAUCGGGAAGAACACCAAUGGCGAAGGCAGGUCUCUGGGCCGUUACUGACGCUGAGCAGCGAAAGCGUGGGGAGCGAACA